rnacentral:lncRNA from 1 species
UGAGGUCUGGCAAGGGGAGUGAACACCUCCAGGCCUCACGUCUAUGCUACUUCCUAACUGAAUACCAUAAGAUAAGUUCGCUAAACUCGCCCUCUUCCCACUGCAAGAAUUAAGUCCCUUAAGCUUGUCCUCUGCAGAGGUUCUGGAGUGGCCACAGCCUGUAUUUCCUGACAAACACAUUGUUGCUAAGGAAGAAAGUGAGCCCGGAGAUCGUGUCAACAGCCUCACAAAUCUUGAAAUCCUCUGUGCAGGUUUAUGGCUUCUGAGAAGCAAGCAGAGGCAGCCUGUUCUCAGCACCGAAUGCAAUAAUUACAAGAACACUUGCAAUGAUUAAUCAGCCCGUGCGUAUUGAGUGGUGCCUGGGAGCACGCACGGCAGUGUGUGUGCUUGUGUGUGUGUGUGUGUGUGUCUCAGGGCAGGGGAGAGGGCAGCAGAGGCGACUGCUACUGGUGAGCAGGCUGCAGGUGUUCUUCCCUCAGUGGACAGGCUCAGGCAGCCACGAUGGUGCUCCUUGGGUAGUGUCAUGUUCUGCUAGGGCUGUAGUGGUUUCUGCCAAGGGAGGAAUCUUGACACCUGUGACCCCCCCUGCUGGGCUCCGGACCAGCAUGCUGGGAGGAAGGAAUUGACAAACAGAGGCGGGUUCCAGGCCUGUCAACCAGAUUAACGAGGGGCCUCGCCAGCAUGAUGUACGUGGCACAAAGGAGGGGCCUUGGGAUGUUCAGCCGGAAGAAAAGAUGCAGGGGACAUGAGAGCUAUCACCUGAGGAGGGAUUGGCUUUGCUCUGUGUAGUCCAGAAGGGGCCAGUGAUCUGUGGGGAUGAUGCAACAGGGAAAGAGCUUUCAGUUCAACAUAAGAUGGAACAUUCUCCACGUCCCUGAAGAAGGAGUGAGCUUUCCAGGAUGGUGAUGAGCACUUGGUCACCAGAGAUGAAGACCUGGAUCCUUGAAAUUGCCUGCAAGACCCUUUUGGAUCUGGCUCCUGCCUACCUCUCCAGCCCAGCUUCAAGUCCUCUAUUCUGCCCUGCCCUAAUCCUGGGCUUCCGGAGCCUUCUUUCAGGACCCAAACCCUCCAUACUCCUUCCAUCUCAGCCCCAACAUAGACCCUUCUUCCACCAGCCUCACUCCUCUUCCCAUCUGCUCACUUCUUCUCCUCUGAUGGUCCCAUCCCCAGGAAGUCCCCCAUGACCCCAAAGAGGGUUACACCACGUAUAUUCCCCCAGCUCUCACUCUCUUCCCCAAUGAUGAAACACCAUUAUAAUGGAAAGAUCAAUUGCAUCUUAAGGACUGGGUAUCUGCCUUCCCGACUAGAUCUCAGGCUCUAGGAGGGUAAGGGCAGGUCACUAUGCCUGCUUUCUUCAACACUGCCACCCAGCACUUGUUUAAUGUCUGGUUCUUGAUACAUAUUUGUUGAGUAAAUAAAUGACUGUCAUUUAAAAUUGCUCUCUUUAAACAUAUCUGAAACUGGGCUCAGCAUCUUCCAUGAAGUCCGGAUAUAAAAUCCCCUAAAAUAGCUUCACUCUUUUCUAGGUAGAUAUCUGACCUUCCCCAAAAAGUCUCCCUCUUUUCCCUCCUGACUUCUUAAAUUCUUAAAACCUCAAGUUUCUCUUUAAACCUAUCUCUGAUUUGCCAGUAUCAUCACCCCAAUCAGGCAUCAGAGUUUCCAGUUUCUUCCACCUUCUUCUGAUAAGCCCAAUCAUUUCCACACCUUGAUUGUGUUUUGAUUUUUGAGGCUGCAGCCAGCUGCAGUUAUUCUCAGCCCUUGAUGGCACAGAAGAGGAGGGUAGUUGCAGGGUAUCCCUGACUCAGCUACAACCAGCAGAGAGAUGCUGAUGUCCUCACUGGUCCUGGACCUCUGCUGGAGGUGGAGCUAUUGCAGUGGUCUGGUCUGGCAGGAGCAGAGGUUAUGGGAAUCCCUAUUUGACUCUCAUUUUGGCCAAUAUACCUUAAAGUAUGCUCAUAGCACAAAGGUUCUUUGAGAUGUUCUGCAAAAGAAAGAAUCCUGUGCCUGCUCUCUGGUCUCGGCCACAGAAGCAAGAUGAUGAAGGGAACAUCAUCGUUUGGAAAGCGUUGCAAUAAGACACACGUUGUGCCACUGCUGUGGCUGUAAGGCCUAUCACCUUCAGAAGUUGACCUGUGGCAAAUGUGGCUACCUUGCCAAGUGCGAGAGAAAGUAUAACUGGAGUGCCAAGGCUAAAAGAUGAAAUACCACCCGGACCAGUUGAAUAAGGCACCUAAAAAUUAUAUACCACACAUUCAGGCAUGGAUUCCAUGAAGGAACAACACCU